AGCAGUUAAGUGUGUGUGUGAGAGAGAAAGAGAAAAAAAAAAAUCGUCUGCCUGCUGUCCAGGGGAUUUAAGUUCGUGGUGCAAAUCGGGAAAGCGGAGCAUUAGGUGUUGAUUGAUCAUGGCCGAGGAGUUUGACAUUGAAGCAAGGAGACUAUAUGUUGGUGCCCUACACUUCAACAUCACAGAAUUAGAUCUGAAGGGGAUUUUUGAACCAUUUGGCAAGUUUCAUAACACAGACGAUGCUAAAACAGCUCUAGAACAGCUAAAUAGAUUUGACUAGCUGGAAGACCAUCAAGAGGCCAUAGUUACCCGAACGGCUGAUGCUGAAGGUGGUGGUUCUUCAGCACUAGACACAGAUGAAAUGGACAGAGCUGGCCCCAUAUGCAUGUAGACCGGAGAAGGGAUUUAAACGGGUGUAGCACUUAUCAGAGUGGAUAGCAGCAAAAACAUUUGUAUGCACGGGAGACCAGAGAAACUCUCCAGCCUGGCGGCUCACUUUUAAAGUUAUUGGUGGUCUUGGGGCUGAAUAACUCGCUACUGGCCAGGAAAUAUGGCAGUCAUCACCGUGUUCAAUGACAACAACAAAAUCGGGUGUUUGGUCACAGAUCGCACCCGUCUGAAGUGUUGGAUAACUUAAAACAGUAUUGCAAAAUUCAUUUUAGACGAGAGAACAUUCUAGCACUGACCACUGA